ensembl:lncRNA
GUCAGCACCACCGCGGGAGGGAAAUGCUAGUUAGCACGGCUUAAUUGAUAAAACAAAUGAGACGACUCCAGGUGUUUUAAAGACAGUUACGUUAUUUGGUCACCAAACGGGCCUUGAUAGAGAGUUGCGUCUACUUUGUGUUGCCAGAUCCAGAUAUUAUAAGUGUCUUUUUGGAGAGCAUACAAUUUAUAGGUUACAGAAUGAAAUAUGCAAACUCUGGUCAUGAAGAAUCCUAUGCUAUUUCAUUCAGUUUGGUAGUUAACCUUUUACAAAAAUCAUGAUAAAAACAUUCAUAAGAGCAAGUUCUUUUUAUCAUCCAUGUAGCAAUACUUUUUAAUGAAAGUUAUUACAGUAAUAAGCAUUGUUGCAUGAAUAAUUAAUUUAUCCACACCUAACAUGUAGUAAAGUUUCAACAAAUUGGGAUAAACUAAAAUAAUGUCUGAUUUAUUAAUGUCUAUCCCCCCAAAACAGACAGCACAGAGAGUGUAAUGAGUUGCAUUUUAGGUGUUAUUAAUUUUUAGGUGUUAACAAACAUCUCCCCAUGCGAUGACAUGGCACCAGGACAGAUUUAUUGUGAAGAUGAAAGCCCACAAGAGUGUGCACGGUUAUCAGACCAGAGGGGAGACUCGUCGUAUAGUCCUUUUACUUGCUCACUUUCCCAGUAAACUAGUAUUUUCCUCCCACAGUGGCACUAGCAGACCAAUAGGGAGACUUGUGAAGACCUAAAAGUCAUACGAAUACGUUAAAUAGGUACAGUGGUGCUGGCUGGCCAGCUGGACCAUCGUGAGGCAGGCGGGAAGAGUCAUCACCAUAAAGAAGACCAUUUUAAAUGUUUUGAGAUGAUAUGUGUUCUCUAAAUAUUGUUGUAUAGUCUUUCUAAUUAAGUACAUUAACUCUUCAAACUUUUACCAUUUAUUUCCCACUGGCAAAAUGUGUUAUCUAUGGUUUUACUUGUAUAUGUAUGUUCAUUCAUGAAAUGUGGUUAAUAUGCUGGUAAUUCUGUGUUGUUAAAGUUCAG